rnacentral:sRNA from 1 species
GGCCCCGGAGCGCCGGGGCUGGGUGGCAGCGGCCAUGGACCGCUUCGUUUGGACCAGCGGCCUCCUGGAGAUCAACGAGACCCUGGUGAUCCAGCAGCGCGGGGUGCGAAUCUACGAUGGCGAGGAGAAGAUAAAAUUUGAUGCUGGGACUCUCCUUCUUAGUACACACCGACUGAUUUGGAGAGAUCAGAAAAAUCAUGAGUGUUGCAUGGCCAUUCUCCUUUCCCAAAUUGUGUUCAUUGAAGAACAGGCGGCUGGAAUUGGGAAGAGUGCCAAAAUAGUGGUUCAUCUUCACCCAGCUCCUCCUAACAAAGAACCUGGCCCAUUCCAGAGUAGUAAGAACUCCUACAUCAAACUCUCCUUCAAAGAACAUGGCCAGAUUGAGGUAAGUUUCUACAUGUAUAAAAUCGUACUAGAAAGGUGUGUGUGUGUGUUGUGGCUUGUUAAUAUGAUGGAAGGUAGUAUUAUACAACAUGCCAGAUUUCACCAUAUUUUUACAAUAAAAUUUUUCUUAUAUCUUAAGCAUUAGCAGUGAGUGGAGAAUAUGAAGUUUAGGUUUCAGUGGGAAUGGGAAGCAGAGGGUGUGGUCCCAAGGAAGGAACAGAGGCUGGAAAAUACACUAAGUCAUGCCAUUCGCCUGCUAGCAGAGUUUUCAGUGGUAUAGUUUAGUUAAAGGAACAGAGUGUAAAUGCAGUGGUAUGUUGAACUAUCUCAGUAUCUAAAGGUUCCCCA